UUCCUCAUUUACAAUUCCAAAAUGAUUAAAUUGGCAAAUAUUGUGGAGGAGGACUUCAGUACUCUGACAGUGGCAAAAAGUAUUGAAUGUUAGACAAUUUAUAUGAAAGAGGUUUAAGAGGCUAAGAACUGAUGUGAUAUCUUUGUCGCCUUUGUGUUUCAGAUCAAUGGAGAAUUUCAAAGAACAACUACUGUACUUCUGGUACCGAAAUUUAUGUCUGUGUUAGACUGUCACACUCCCAAGCUACUGACGCCAUUUUGUGCCAAAGAUGGAGCACUUGGAAGAAGACUGGAGAUCAUAAUGGAAAUGCUGCAGUGAUUGACUUCCUCCCCAGCACUCUUCGAUUGAGAGGACCAGAGAGAUUGUUCUUUGGUAUCUUAGAAAAUACCUUGGAGAACAAGGGGGACAUCUUAUCAAAGAAUUCAACGACACUGAGAACUUGGAGGAACUUGAA